GCUUAUCACCAUUCCAGAUUGAAUAUACCCGAUCUCGUCUGAUCUCGAAAGUCAAGCAAUCUCGGGCUUGGUUAUUACUUGGAUGGGUGACCGCUUGGGAAUACCAAGUGUGAUAAGCA
rnacentral:rRNA from 1 species